rnacentral:lncRNA from 10 species
UUCAUUCAAAUAUCAGGGUAGCCUUUAAAGUCAUCUCAGAGGUGGGGGUUUUUGUGGACCUGAUACUGUGGGUUGGAUGUGGGCUGCUGUUUGACUAGGAGGCCCCUGCUCACUGGCAGCUGGCCUCUGCCUCAGGUGGAGACAGAUUACUGUCUGCUGCUGGCUCUGCCCUGUGGCCGUGACCAAGAGGAUGUUGUGAGCCAGACCGAGUCCCUCAAGGCUGCCUUCAUCACUUACCUGCAGGCCAAGCAGGCGGCAGGGAUCAUCAACGUUCCCAACCCUGGCUCCAAUCAGCCUGCCUACGUGCUGCAGAUCUUCCCGCCCUGUGAGUUCUCUGAGAGUCACCUGUCCCGCCUGGCCCCUGACCUCCUUGCCAGCAUCUCCAACAUCUCUCCCCACCUCAUGAUUGUCAUUGCCUCCGUGUGAGCCACUGAGUGGUUAUCACCUCAGUGAAUCUUCCCAGGGCUCUGCAGUAAAAACAAAGGACAACCCAGCCAAGCAGAGGAAGAAGCUGCCGAAGGGGACAGACUCCACUGCCAGACG